rnacentral:rRNA from 1 species
AACGAACGCUGGCGGCAGGCUUAACACAUGCAAGUCGAGCGCCCCGCAAGGGGAGCGGCAGACGGGUGAGUAACGCGUGGGAAUCUACCCAUCUCUACGGAAUAACGCAUGGAAACGUGUGCUAAUACCGUAUACGUCCUUCGGGAGAAAGAUUUAUCGGAGAUGGAUGAGCCCGCGUUGGAUUAGCUAGUUGGUGGGGUAAAGGCCUACCAAGGCGACGUCCCUUAGCUGGUCUGAGAGGAUGAUCAGCCACACUGGGACUGAGAGACGGCCCAGACUCCUACGGGAGGCAGCAGUGGGGAAUAUUGGACAAUGGGCGCAAGCCUGAUCCAGCCAUGCCGCGUGAGUGAUGAAGGCCCUAGGGUUGUAAAGCUCUUUCACCGGUGAAGAUAAUGACGGUAACCGGAGAAGAAGCCCCGACUAACUUCGUGCCAGCCGCCGCCGUAACAC